rnacentral:rRNA from 1 species
ACGCUAGCUACAGGCUUAACACAUGCAAGUCGAGGGGCAUCAGGAAGAAAGCUUGCUUUCUUUGCUGGCGACCGGCGCACGGGUGAGUAACACGUAUCCAACCUGCCCUUUACUCGGGGAUAGCCUUUCGAAAGAAAGAUUAAUACCCGAUAGCAUAAUGAUUCCGCAUGGUUUCAUUAUUAAAGGAUUCCGGUAAAGGAUGGGGAUGCGUUCCAUUAGGUUGUUGGUGAGGUAACGGCCCACCAAGCCUUCGAUGGAUAGGGGUUCUGAGAGGAAGGUCCCCCACAUUGGAACUGAGACACGGUCCAAACUCCUACGGGAGGCAGCAGUGAGGAAUAUUGGUCAAUGGGCGCUAGCCUGAACCAGCCAAGUAGCGUGAAGGAUGAAGGCUCUAUGGGUCGUAAACUUCUUUUAUAUAAGAAUAAAGUGCAGUAUGUAUACUGUUUUGUAUGUAUUAUAUGAAUAAGGAUCGGCUAACUCCGUGCCAGCAGCCGCGGUAAUACGGAGGAUCCGAGCGUUAUCCGGAUUUAUUGGGUUUAAAGGGAGCGUAGGUGGACUGGUAAGUCAGUUGUGAAAGUUUGCGGCUCAACCGUAAAAUUGCAGUUGAUACUGUCAGUCUUGAGUACAGUAGAGGUGGGCGGAAUUCGUGGUGUAGCGGUGAAAUGCUUAGAUAUCACGAAGAACUCCGAUUGCGAAGGCAGCUCACUGGACUGCAACUGACACUGAUGCUCGAAAGUGUGGGUAUCAAACAGGAUUAGAUACCCUGGUAGUCCACACAGUAAACGAUGAAUACUCGCUGUUUGCGAUAUACAGUAAGCGGCCAAGCGAAAGCAUUAAGUAUUCCACCUGGGGAGUACGCCGGCAACGGUGAAACUCAAAGGAAUUGACGGGGGCCCGCACAAGCGGAGGAACAUGUGGUUUAAUUCGAUGAUACGCGAGGAACCUUACCCGGGCUUAAAUUGCAGUGGAAUGAUGUGGAAACAUGUCAGUGAGCAAUCACCGCUGUGAAGGUGCUGCAUGGUUGUCGUCAGCUCGUGCCGUGAGGUGUCGGCUUAAGUGCCAUAACGAGCGCAACCCUUAUCUUUAGUUACUAACAGGUUAUGCUGAGGACUCUAGAGAGACUGCCGUCGUAAGAUGUGAGGAAGGUGGGGAUGACGUCAAAUCAGCACGGCCCUUACGUCCGGGGCUACACACGUGUUACAAUGGGGGGUACAGAAGGCAGCUAGCGGGUGACCGUAUGCUAAUCCCAAAAUCCUCUCUCAGUUCGGAUCGAAGUCUGCAACCCGACUUCGUGAAGCUGGAUUCGCUAGUAAUCGCGCAUCAGCCACGGCGCGGUGAAUACGUUCCCGGGCCUUGUACACACCGCCCGUCAAGCCAUGGGAGCCGGGGGUACCUGAAGUACGUAACCGCAAGGAUCGUCCUAGGGUAAAACUG